GUGAAUCAUCGAAUUUUUGAACGCAAAUUGCGCCUUUUUCGGAACGCAUGUCUGUUUGAGGGCACCAUUUAACAAAUAUUGUACAUUUCGUGUGCACACGUUGAUGAGCUUUCCAAAAUUAUGUAUUAUUUUUUUUGUUGGCGCAUAAUAAACAGCGUGAUGCUUUUUUUCAGUUCGCGUGUAGUAAAAUUUUUUCUUGCUUGUGUUGUGAAAAGCGUGAUCUCGCAAAUGGGUGUUGCGUCUC
rnacentral:misc_RNA from 1 species